rnacentral:misc_RNA from 1 species
GUGAAUCAUCGAAUUUUUGAACGCAAAUUGCACUCUUUUCGGAGAGUAUGCCUGUUUGAGGGUCAGUAUUAUUAAAAAUCGGUGUGUUGGUUCUUUGUGUUGUCCCGGAGGUUGGGUUAUUUUAAUAUGUUUUAGGUUUUAAGGGGCUUAAAAUUGAUUUUUUUUGUGUAUUUUAGUUGUACAUAAAUUAUUUUUUUUUUUCGUUUGUAUUAAUGCUCAACAU